rnacentral:lncRNA from 1 species
GGACUUGGCUAUAAUGAGGAGCAGUACUCAAUAAGUAUACAAGCUGAUCGGUUUGAUUUUGGAGCUCAUGGACCACAUUAUUUCCAGCUAAUUCCAAUUUAUGAAGAAAGAGGAUGGCAUAUGAUAUUUGAAAAGACAAGGACACGUAUAAGUUGGCAGACCGUGGAGCUAUAUGUGAACUGCACACCGACCCAAGUAGGAUUGAGCCAAGUUAACAGCACAUUCCAUCCCGUGCCGCCAUCGCCGCGACAACCAGACUCCUUCGGCGUUGCUUCCGCCACCGGCGCGGCCAGGUUCGCCUCACCGACGCCAUCCCCUCGCCACCUCCGUCGCCACCAUAGCAGCCGCUGCUGCCCUUCCAUCCCCGCCGCCAUCUCGUCAUCCUCCCACACCUUGUCGCCGUCGUCGAGCUCCGACGACACACGGCGCAGGCGGACCGCCGUGGUAGCCUGCAUCGCCGUCGCUGUGAACUCGUCGCCACCACUGUCGCGACCGCCAGACCUCCGGGCGCUGGAUCCGCCGCCGGCGCGGCCAGGUUCACCUCACCGACGCCAUCCCCUCGCCGCCCUCGCCAUCCCCGCCACCAGACGCCGCCGUCGGCCGCCGUCCCGCCAGAUCCAGGCGCGGAUCUGGCGGUUUCCUCUGCCGCCGCCAACGCUUCGACGCCGCUGCCACCACCACCAAACACCGUCGCCGCACCGCUCAGCCCCGCCGCCGGCUGCUCCACCGCCAGAUCCGGCCGGCGGCAUGGAUCUGGCCAGUUCCGCCGCCCCCGAGCAGGUCCCCCUCCCAUGCCCGAGCGCGAGGAUGAAGCCCCGCCGCCGCCGUCCUUGUGGCCGGGCAGCGGCGAGGCCAAGGAGGAGGGAAGGGGAGACGAGCGCCGGUGAGGUCGUCGCCUCCCGGUCGCCCGUGGUGGAGGGACACGAGAGGAAACGUUUUUAA